GGGGCUGGGGGGGAGAGCCUGGCUCGCCGCCCCCAGGUGGGGCGAGAGCGCGCCCGAGGGCCCGCCCACCGCCGGGGUGGAAAACGCUUGUAUCUUUUUUUUUUUUUUUUUUUUUUUUUUUUUAAAUAUCUUUAUGUCGCUGUUGUUGUUGUUUAUCUCCCGGUGGGAUGCCGGGCCCGGGUAGAAAUGCCCUCCUCGCCGCUGGCCUCAGCCACCGUGCACGUGCGCUCUCUGGAAAACCCUGAUUUAAGCCAAAUGUUUUGACUUUCCGAACAACUGCACGCAAUUUGGGGGCUGUCCGGUGGUUGUAAGAGCCCAAGUGCGCCUGGUUGCAGAUUACCCGGGCUGUCUCUUCUGGAAGUAUGGCCCGGGUUAUUUUAUUUUCUUUUUUAAGCUUGCAUCAAAAUAAGUACACGUGCUUGCAAUUUGCCAAUGGAAAGCACAGCUUUUUUAUUUAUUUCAUUUAUUUUUUUUUGUCAAAUCAUUAAAUAGCUGUCAUGUUAUCAUAGGAACAGAUAUUCCUGUGAAAUGUAAAGCAGGAGGAAGGGAAGUGUAAUUGAGGAAGCAAAAGGAAGAGGAAAGUUGAAGACAUGAGGGAGUGGGAUACAUCUUCAGGGCAAGGCAGAGGCCAGGAGAAAGGAAAACUGAGGAGCAUGUCCCUGCUGUUUUCCAGUGUUUGGAUGAUAAAAACCAGCUGUAUAUCAGUUCUAGGCAGCUAACGUGCUUCAGCCUGGUACGCCACCAGUUUGGACUAGUUGAGCAGUCUUUUCGAGAAAGGUUUCCUUCUGCUUCAGCUGACCUACAAAGACACCCAAGUGCUACUGCAGAUCAAAUGACAGGUUCAGCGUCUGCCAGAGUUGAGCUUUUGAGUCUAUAUUCCUUGUUCAUUCACUUGAAAGUCAAUUUUGCAAUAUUUCUGCCUUCUGUCCUGAACAGACUCAAUAAAUGUUUUUUGACCUUAGUCGGGUUAGACUGUUCUGCUACUUACUCAUUCUAGAGAUAUUUUAAAAUAUUAAACAGUUUGUAGAGAAUCUGUUGAAUUUACAAUUACAA
rnacentral:lncRNA from 1 species